GGAAACUGGAUGUUCUCCUAAAACAGCCACCUAGCCAAGCUGAACCAACAGAGAUGUAUUGAUCACCGGGUCAAUGGAACUAGGUGGGUGCUGGGGGGAAAGUCAGCAGGUAAGUCAGGUGAGGACUGCCUCCCUUCCACUCCCCACCCAGAGACUGAAGACAGACAGACAGACAGAGGCGUUCAUUCAGAAAGAAGUAGGAGGGCUUCAGGGAUUCAGCGGAGGAGACUGAAAGCCUGAGAGACGAUGCCUCUGAGAAGGUUACAGGAACCUGACAAGACUGACUAGCCAUCUCUAGCAUUCAGAUAGGUGGAACUUCAUUGUGCUGAAGUUAUGUUUGAGCACCCUCUGCUGGACAAAUCAGAUGCUCUAUGACUACCAACAAUGUACCAGUGGUAUUCGUCUCUUGCAGAUCUGGAAGAAAAUGAAAUUUAGGUACAUACAGUCACGAACAGAUACCUAGAUGACACAUUUAAAACCCUCAAACACAGUGGAGAUGAGACCAGCAUAAUAUUAAGCUCUUCUCCCUCACAAACACCUGUGCUACCCACACUCACAGGCAAAAAAAAUAUACACAACUGCCAGACUGCAAUGCCUCCCAAUUUAUUGGCCAAAUCUAGAUUCUGCUAGCCCUGUAUAUUCACUCAGAAAGCCAGGCUUCAGACACACCAUGAGUGAUGAGAAAUCCAUUUCAUCAGCAGAGGCAUCUUGCCUAUCUUCAGGAAGCCUACAGACUUCCAGGGAAGCAGGGGGGAAAUCAAGACGUGUCUGACUAUGAGCUGGGGUAAGGGAAGCCUCCGUGUGAAGAUGUGACCUAGUUAGGACAGCUGCCGGAAAGCAGGACUGGCAAGCUUGGUGGUUUGUACACCGGGCCUUGGGAGACUUGGGACACAAACACGAGGUCUUCUGAGGAUGUUUGUGAGUUGCUGGGUUACACAAAAAGAUUCUAGCUCAACAAGCAAAGAAGCGAAGGGGAGGGAAGGGGAGGAAAGGGAGGAGAAGAAAGGAAGUGGGAAGAGAAAAUGGGGCCAAGAAAAGCCCCAAACAUCCCAUAAGCACCCAGAACAGUGUCCCCACCGCGAACCAACCGGGAACCAAAGUGUUCACACCAGAUGAGCUCGUGGAAGGGCUUUUUGCCAAUUGUUCAUGGGUCCCCAGUGAUGAUGGAAUAUUGCGACUUACGUUUCAACCGUUUAAAAAUUUACUGUUAUUAUUUAUGCAUUUCAGUGUUUUGUCUGUUACACGCUCUGUAACUCCAGUUGCAGAAAAUGUAAAACUUUUCUGCCCCCUCCCCCUCCGGCAACCGGGCACAGACAUUUACGGGAGGCUGUGGCUACUUUAGGAGAUGUGAGCGAGCAGUCUCCUUCCUGCUGCUGCAGCUGCAAGCUGCUCCUGCCGCCCAUGCCUUCUCUACUGCCAUGCCUUCCCUACCACAAGGGCCAGAACUCUCACACUGAAAGCCAGAAUAAAUCCUUCCUCUCUUCGGUUGGUUGUUGUCAGGUAAUUGGUCCCAACCAUGGUAAAGCUUAGUGGAAAAGAAAAAAAAGGUAAAAAUCUAUUGUAGACUGAGUGCCCUGAAUCAGAAAACACACAGUCCAGCUGCUCUGAAAUCUAAGCAUCAUCGUGACACUACAAAGAGAAAACUCCAUAUCUGACCACACAUGAGAAUCUACUGAUGAAUACAACCAUGGGUUUACUAAAAAAAGGUGUAUAAAAUGAUCUUCAAGCUGCUCGUAUAAGAUAGGUAUGAAGUGUAAAUUGAAUUUUGGGUCUGACCCCCUAACAUAUUUUCCUGCGUGAAUACAAAUUCCCUCAAGUCCAAAUAACCCCACACUUGGGCGUUUCAGAUAGGGGAUACCCAAUCUGUAAGCCGUUUACUGCCAUAGAGAAGCUAUGAUGCAAGCAGAGCCUACUAACAACUUGGCCAAAACACUUCUAAUAACAGAACUUCACAUGGGUUUCCAUGAGGUCAGAAUGGAAGUAGGAGGAUACAUUGUUUGACGUCAUGGUAUCUGUCCAAUUAAGGUCUGUGUGAGCCUUCCAUCACCAUAACAAAACACAGAACAGAAUCAGCUUUUUAAGGGGGCUUAUUUUGGAUUAUGGUUGCAUAGGAAGAUAUAUAGAUAGGAUCUCCAUGCCAAUAUUUUUAAUGGGUGCUGUCUCUAUUGCUCUGGGCAGGAGAAGGCAGCAGCUGGCAUCAAUGGUGUGGUGAGGAGAGAAUCAAGUUUCCUUCUCCAGUUCAAACAGACGAAAGUGAAGCGACAUAGGCUCAAGGACAGGGUCACUGGGCUAGCGCCACACCAUGGAGCCAAACCCCGAGCCUUCUAAAUUGUGAGCUGGGCAUGGUGGUUCACCCCAGGAAUCGCAGCACUGAGGGAUGAAGGCGAGAGAGUCACUGUGGGUGUGACAUCAGUCUGGCCUGAAGUCUGAGACUGUUUUUUUAAAAAGAAAACAUUUUUUUAUGUCAUAUAUUUAAUUAUAUAAAGAUUCUGUUGUUUUGUUGUUGUUGUUGUUAAAAUUCAGCCAGGAAAUUUCCAUCUGUCUGGUGUUAAUUGGUUGUUUUUCAGCACUAAUUGGGAAAUGAUAUAUUUUUAUUGUUUUAUAAAUAGAGUAAAACCCCUCAGAAACUGCUGGGGAAAUUUAAACAAGGAAAGCAAUUCUAUGUCCUUGCUUGACACCAGUUUGUCCCAGAGGUGACACAACUGUGUAGUUUUUGAAAACACUGGGCAUUUAUAUAUAUAUGAGACAAAACCCCACUGUAUAGCCCUGGCUAACUCGAAACUCACUAUGUAAAUCAGGCUGGGCUUUGACACACAGAGCUCUGCCUUUGCCUACUCAGUGUUGGGAUUUAACACCCACACCACCAUAGCCAGCCUUCUCUCCAAGGGGCAAAUUUCUUUCUGAAGCAACUUCCUCAUUUAUUAACAGUAUUGCUUCCAGACCCCGUGUGUGUGUGUGUGUGUGUGUGUGUGUGUGUGUGUGUGUGUACAGAUAUGUGUUUGCAAGUAUUUAGACACAAGUUGAUGCAGACUACACCAGUUUCAUGAAAUUGUUCCCAUGUCAGUGGCUAGUCUGAGCCUUUUGUACUUGUAAACAGCUGGCUGUAAACUGGGGAUUCCCAUACUCUCCUCUUCAGCCCCAUAAUUAUCAUGGUGAUUUGCAACCUGUAGGUAAUGACCCGUUUGGCUCAUAUAUCAGAUAUUCUGCAUGUCAGAUAUUUAUAUUUUGAUUCAUAACAAUAGUAAAAUUAUAGUUAUGAAGUAGUAAUGUAAAUAGUUACACUGUGGGGGUCACCACAACACGAGGAACUGUGUUAAAUGGCUUCAGCAAUAGGAAGGUUGAGAGCCACUGAUUUAUUAGGUCAUUUCAUGGAUCGUGGGGAUGCUUUCUACUUUCAUCUAUUGUUUAUUACAAAAGAUGUAGACAGACAGAUAGAUAGACAGACUCACAGAUAAAUAGAAAAAUAGAUGACAGAAAGAUAGAAAGUUAGGUAAAAAGAUAAAAAGAUAGGUAGAUGCUAGAAAGAUAGAUAGACUCAAAGACAAAUAGAAAGAUAGAUAAUAGAGAAAGGUGGAAAGAAAAAUAGAUAGAUGAUGGAAAGAUAGGUAGAUAGACUGACAGAAUGA
rnacentral:lncRNA from 1 species